UACGGAGGGGGCUAGCGUUGUUCGGAAUUACUGGGCGUAAAGCGCGCGUAGGCGGAUCUGCAAGUCGGGGGUGAAAUCUCCGGGCUUAACCCGGAAAGGUCAACCGAUACUGCGGGGCUAGAGUGCAGAAGGGGCAACUGGAAUUCUCGGUGUAGCGGUGAAAUGCGUAGAUAUCGAGAGGAACACCUGCGGCGAAGGCGGGUUGCUGGGCUGACACUGACGCUGAACGCGAAAGCUAGGGGAGCGAACGGG
rnacentral:rRNA from 1 species